CCUAAAUGAAUUGGAUGAGGGACUAGAAGGGGAACUCAUCAACUUUCUAGAUGACACUAAACUAGCAAGAAUAGCCAAUACCCCAGAAGACAAAUUCA